rnacentral:rRNA from 1 species
UACGUAGGGACCGAGCGUUGUCCGGAUUCAUUGGGCGUAAAGAGCUCGUAGGCGGCUGUUCAAGUCGAACGUGAAAACUCGGGGCUUAACUCCGGGCCUGCAGUGGGUACGGGCAGACUAGAGUGCGGUAGGGGGAGACUGGAAUUCCUGGUGUAGCGGUGAAAUGCGCAGAUAUCAGAAGGAACACCGGUGGCGAAGGCGGGUCUCUGGGCCGUAACUGACGC